rnacentral:tRNA from 1 species
UAGUGUAAUGUGGUAGCACCAAGAAUUCUGGAUUCUUUGGGGUAGGUUCAAUUCCUGU